UUGACCUCAAAUCAGGUAGGACCACCCGCUGAACUUAAGCAUAUCAAUAAGCGGAGGAAAAGAAACUAACAAGGAUUCCCUUAGUAACUGCGAGUGAAGAGGGAAAAGCUCAAAUUUGUAAUCUGGCGGUCUUUGGCUGUCCGAGUUGUAAUCUAGAGAAGUGCUACCUGCGCUGGACCAUGUACAAGUCUCCUGGAAUGGAGCAUCAUAGAGGGUGAGAAUCCCGUCUUUGACAUGGACUGCCAGAGCUUAUAGGUGCGCUCUCGAAGAGUCGAGUUGUUUGGGAAUGCAGCUCAAAAUGGGUGGUAAAUGCCAUCUAAAGCUAAAUAUUGGCGAGAGACCGAUAGCGAACAAGUACCGUGAGGGAAAGAUGAAAAGAACUUUGGAAAGAGAGUUAAACAGUACGUGAAAUUGCUGAAAGGGAAACGCUUGAAGUCAGUCGCAUCAGUUGGAAAUCAACCUUGCUUUUGCUGGGUGUACUUUCCGUCCGAUGGGUCAGCAUCAAUUUUGAUUGCUGGAUAAAGUUCUUGGGAACGUGGCAUCUUUGGAUGUGUUAUAGCCCUUGGACAUAUACAGUGGUUGGGAUUGAGGAACUCAGCACGCCGCAAGGCUGGGGCUUUGUCCACAACACGUGCUUAGGAUGCUGGCAUAAUGGCUUUAAUCUACCCG
rnacentral:rRNA from 1 species